UGGGAAAUGACUCAGUGGUAGAGUGCUUGCCUUGUAUGCAAGAGGUCCUAGGUUUGAUUCCUCAG
rfam:Dipodomys ordii contig_37858, whole genome shotgun sequence.